rnacentral:rRNA from 1 species
UACGUAGGGGGCGAGCGUUGUCCGGAUUCAUUGGGCGUAAAGCGCUUUAAGGCGGUUCGCUAAGUCGCGUGUGAAAACUCCAGGCUCAACCUGGAGACGCCACGCGAUACUGGCGUGACUAGAGUUCGGUAGGGGAUCACGGAAUUCCUGGUGUAGCGGGGAAAUGCGCAGAUAUCAGGAGGAACACCGGUGGCGAAGGCGGUGAUCUGGGCCGACACUGACGCUGUAGAGCGAAAGCGUGGGGAGCGAACAGG